UGAAGUGUUGCCCAUUACCUACUGGAUAAAGUCUUUAUUUUUUUAGACCUGCACAGAAGGUACUUUUCAAUCCAUCCACAGCCUACCUCCAUCCCAACUUUUCUUUCAUACAUUAUACUUUUUCCAGUACCUCAUAGCUCUCAAAUUUUCACAGGAUUAUGUGUCUUUAUGGCUUUGCACAGCUCUUAUAAAUUACCAAGUCUCAGGUAGUUCUUUAUAGCAGCAUGAGAAUGGACUAAUACACAGGCCAUUAAAAUAAAAGAAUCUUGUGAUUUUUAGAGGUUAAAAAUAAUAAACUAUCAUUAACACAAAACUCUUUUGUCCUUGACCAGGCAUUAGGUCUGUAUUUAACCAUAAAAAUAUGAAGCAGUACCAACAAGAAAUUACUUACAACUCAAUUUCAUCCACUGACUUAAACAUCUCUCAAACCAUAUCACAAUUAUUUGCCACAGAGAAUCAAUUAAAAAAAAAUUACAGUGAAAUGAACUAUACUAUUGCUCCAACUGAUAUUACAGACAAAU